rnacentral:rRNA from 1 species
UACAGAGGGGGCAAGCGUUGCUCGGAAUUACUGGGCGUAAAGGGCGCGUAGGCGGGAUGGCAAGUCGGUCGUGAAAUACCUCGGCUCAACUGAGGAGCGUCGAUCGAAGCUGCCGUUCUUGAGGGUUGCAGAGGAGACUGGAAUUCCCGGUGUAGCGGUGAAAUGUGUAGAGAUCGGGAGGAACACCGGUGGCGAAGGCGGGUCUCUGGGCAAUUCCUGACGCUGAGGCGCGAAAGCGUGGGGAGCAAACGGG